rnacentral:rRNA from 1 species
GACAGAGGUGCCGAGCGUUAGGCGGAAUCACUGGGCUUAAAGCGUGUGUAGGCGGGCGGGCAAGUACCUUGUGAAAUCCCACGGCUCAACCGUGGAACGGCUGGGUAUACUGCCUGUCUUGAGCCAACUAGGGGCGAGCGGAACAGACGGUGGAGCGGUGAAAUGCGUAGAUAUCAGGAGGAACACCGAUGGCGAAGGCAGGUCUCUGGGCUGACACUGACGCUCAUGCACGAAAGCGUGGGGAGCAAACAGG